GCGAGUUCGGCCGGAACCGGAAGAGGGGUCACGGAGAAGCGCGAGGAAAAGACGGAGAGGAGAGUGAGUGACAGCAUGGCCGCGGAAACAUUACAGCAAAGAAAAGACUUUGAGGAGUUAAAACACGCUGGUUGAGGAACAUAUGUCGAGACAAACGGACAUUGAGUCUCAGAGUGACUGUUCAGUGAACGCAGCACCGUGUUUGAGUUUACAUGAAGAGAAAAAGAGUGAAAAGAGAGAAGUGCAGCUAGAAGCUAAUGUAGCUCACGUGAGUUUACCUGGCGGCCUUCACGACGAGCAGCUCGCGGAGGUGAAGCCUGUUAGUCUGCUGUGUAACCGGUCUGCAUGAGAGGAUCUGCGGUGAGUGUUUACCACGGACGCUACCGGGAGAACGGACGGGAGGAACCGUCUAAGGCCCAGGCUGCAUUAACACGCUGUGCCGCAGAAAGGUCAAGGACGAGGACGCCAUUACUGCCCUAGGACUCAUCUAUCUGCUGAAGCUUGAGGAGGAAACGAUCUGUGGAGGGGAAAUGAAACUGAAGUUGAUCUAGUGGCUCUUCCUUUUUUUUUC